UAUUAGGUUGGUGCAAAAGUAAUUGCUGUUUUUGCCAUUGAAAGUAAUGGCAAAAGCUGCAGUUACGUUUGCACCAACCUAAUA
rfam:Pan troglodytes isolate Yerkes chimp pedigree #C0471 (Clint) chromosome 6, whole genome shotgun sequence.